rnacentral:rRNA from 1 species
GCUUGCUCCGGGGAUUAGUGGCGAACGGGUGAGUAACACGUGAGUAACCUGCCCUUUGACUCUGGGAUAAGCCUGGGAAACUGGGUCUAAUACCGGAUACGACCGCUCCACGCAUGUGGUGGUGGUGGAAAGCUUUUGCGGUUUUGGAUGGACUCGCGGCCUAUCAGCUUGUUGGUGGGGUAAUGGCCUACCAAGGCGACGACGGGUAGCCGGCCUGAGAGGGUGACCGGCCACACUGGGACUGAGACACGGCCCAGACUCCUACGGGAGGCAGCAGUGGGGAAUAUUGCACAAUGGGCGAAAGCCUGAUGCAGCGACGCCGCGUGAGGGAUGACGGCCUUCGGGUUGUAAACCUCUUUCAGUAGGGAAGAAGCGAAAGUGACGGUACCUGCAGAAGAAGCGCCGGCUAAYUACGUGCCAGCAGCCGCGGUAAUACGUAGGGCGCAAGCGUUAUCCGGAAUUAUUGGGCGUAAAGAGCUCGUAGGCGGUUUGUCGCGUCUGCUGUGAAAGACCGGGGCUCAACUCCGGUUCUGCAGUGGGUACGGGCAGACUAGAGUGAUGUAGGGGAGACUGGAAUUCCUGGUGUAGCGGUGAAAUGCGCAGAUAUCAGGAGGAACACCGAUGGCGAARGCAGGUCUCUGGGCAUUAACUGACGCUGAGGAGCGAAAGCAUGGGGAGCGAACAGGAUUAGAUACCCUGGUAGUCCAUGCCGUAAACGUUGGGCACUAGGUGUGGGGGACAUUCCACGUUUUCCGCGCCGUAGCUAACGCAUUAAGUGCCCCGCCUGGGGAGUACGGCCGCAAGGCUAAAACUCAAAGGAAUUGACGGGGGCCCGCACAAGCGGCGGAGCAUGCGGAUUAAUUCGAUGCAACGCGAAGAACCUUACCAAGGCUUGACAUGAACCGGUAACGCCUGGAAACAGGUGCCCCGCUUGCGGUCGGUUUACAGGUGGUGCAUGGUUGUCGUCAGCUCGUGUCGUGAGAUGUUGGGUUAAGUCCCGCAACGAGCGCAACCCUCGUUCUAUGUUGCCAGCGCGUUAUGGCGGGGACUCAUAGGAGACUGCCGGGGUCAACUCGGAGGAAGGKGGGGACGACGUCAAAUCAUCAUGCCCCUUAUGUCUUGGGCUUCACGCAUGCUACAAUGGCCGGUACAAAGGGUUGCGAUACUGUGAGGUGGAGCUAAUCCCAAAAAGCCGGUCUCAGUUCGGAUUGGGGUCUGCAACUCGACCCCAUGAAGUCGGAGUCGCUAGUAAUCGCAGAUCAGCAA